GCACUUUCCCCUGAGCUCUCUGCUCAGCUCCCUCACGCGCUGCCCACAGAGUGAGGCUGGAAGACGAAAUAUGACGUCAUAUCACUCUGUGGGCGGCACGCGAGGGAGCUGAGCAGAGAGCUCAGGGGAAAGUGC